rnacentral:misc_RNA from 1 species
CAAAGGCAACUUGCAUACAAAUAGAUUUCCCCAUAUAGCAUAAAUGGCCUCCACUUUACAAUGAAUUCUGUAACUAGCUUUUGUUUAACGUCAUUUUCUGUCAUGAAUCCUGAACAAGCAAAACAACUCGGCUCAAAGUUUAAAAAAGGGGGAGGUCCCUAAAACAUACAUCAAUGAACCGUUGGCAAUGACAUCUAAUAAUAUAAUCGAAUAAGCAAAAUCCAAAAAUCCCCCAUCAGCAGGGGCAAAUAAUGAGAACAACAUGAUGCCCUGAACCAAAAAGAAUGUGGCUUUUAUGGUUACCAAGUAUAUGCUCACCUACCUACAAACAACCCAAUAGAACAAGUAUAAUUCAAGCGAUACUACUAAGCACUUUUUCCAUCUGAUUUUGAUGCCAGUUUACUCCUCUGUUGAUGUUCUGCAACUUUAUAAUCUACCACUUCACGAAACAGGCUUGGAUCAAGUACACAAUUCUGACUCCCAUAAACUGCAGCUUGGAUACUUGCCAUCAAUUUUGCUAUUUCUCUCCCAGAAAAUCCCUCAGUUUUCGCUGCUGCUUCCUUUAAGAUGUCAUCAGUCAGUCCCCUGAUCUCAAUCUUCUGCUGCUGUUUUUUGAACAAAUUUUGAAACCAACCACCAGAUUUUCUUGAUCCGGCCUGAGCUAUAUACUUGUCCAAAUAGAGUUUGAGCAGCUUGAAGCGUUCCUCUUCCCCAGGCAAAGGGAAUUCCAGGACUUCAUCAAUACGAUCUGCUACAGCAGAAUCAAGAUCACCUGGACGAUUUGUGGCAAGAGCAAGGACUAUAUCCUUUGAUUGGUCACCAGUGCGGAAAAGAAGAGCAUUGAGUGCACUUCUUUGAGCUUCACUCAUGUAGGUCUUGUUCCGCUCGCACAAAAAUGCAUCUGCUUCAUCAAUGAACAGCAACAAACCCCUCUUGGACUUCUUAGCCCAAUCGAAUAACUGGUGUAUUUUGGUAACAGCCUGUGAUCCCAGCGGAGCAACAUCACCACCAGUCAUCAAUGCAUAAUCUAAUCCCUGCAUGUAAAAUUAGAAGAAGAUAAGAAUGCUUGAUAUGACAUGAAACAGAUGAAAUCACCAGUAAGCAUGCUUGAUUCAAAUCAUACUUAAAUUUUUCAUAUUUGAUGCCCAUUAUAGGAUUCACAAAGUUUACUAAUUUCUUUCUUCUUUCUCAAGUAAAAACAUUUCUUGUUACGCAGAUGUUCAUAUAUUUGCAUGUAUCAUAUUUUGAAUUUUAAAACUGCAAGGUCUAACCCAUAGUUCAAAGGCAUAAUUAAAAGCUAGGUAGCAGAAAAGAAGAAACAGUUACAAAUAUCAAAAGUCUGAGGUCAUCAUACAAAUGCAAUAACUUUUGUGCGAAGUAAUCUAUGAAGUAAUCACAAAAGUGGUCUCAAACGUCAAAUCACAGUCAAUCAAGCUUUUUGAUGAUUGCAAUAACAUAGCAUAAGCAAUGCAUGAAACAAAAAGAAUGAGACAGUCAUAUAAAUCUCAUACAGAUUUUCGAGCAAGCUCUCUGGCAGCCAUUGUUUUUCCUGUUCCUGGAGGUCCAUAGAAAAGCAUGUUUCGGAAAGGUGCUUGAUGGGAUUUUGUAUUGGCAGUUGCAUUGGACAGUUGUUCAAUUCUUUUCUGAAGAGAAGGAUGUAGAAUCACAUCACCAAAGCCAUUUCCAUUUUUGGAAGACCCUUUAUUGGCACUAUGUGAUAAAGUGCUCAUGGUACGGGUGAAAAAUCCAGACCAAGGGUAUUUCCCUCGGGAAGACUCUCUGAUAAGUGAUGGUUGUCCCAAUAUUCUAUCCACAUAGCUCCAAAUCACCUUUGCACCUUCUCUUGUUGUAUAAAUCCCAGCGGCAAGAGCGGUCACUCCUCCCACAGCAACAACUAACUUAUUUUGGUCUGUUAAAAUGGCUCGUAAACCCCCUCCAAUAUGGUCAAAAGUUGUAUUAAUAGCGGCCACCCACUUCUCUCUUUCAGCAUUUGCACGAUCAAUCAGCAUUCGCCUGUUAACAUCUUCAGAUAGCUUUGCUUCAUGGGCUCUCCCUUCAGCUUCUGCCAUAGCUCUCACCCUGAUUGUUUCCCGUUCUAUAUCAGCCUUUUCUCUCUCUGUCUGGCGCCGUUGUGCUUGAAUCUGUUCUUCUGUGGCUCGUCGAGCUUGCUCCUGCCUUAUUGAUGAUUCUUCUUGCAGUUUGACAAGCUCCUGAUUCCUUGCUCUUUGGUAUUCGUUAUCAGCCUGCAUCCUUUUUCUUGCCAAUUCAUCCUCAUAACGAGCCAUCUGGGAUUUAGUUUGUGCCUGAUGUUGAGCCAACUUUUUCUGUUCAUCAUAUAUUACCCUUUGUCUCUCAGUUUCAGCUUGUGCUUGGGUUGCCUUAAACUCUGAAGCCUUCGCUGCCCAUUCUGCCUGCCUUGUUGCUUCUUGCGUCUUCAUCACUUCAAACACCUUCUUAGCAUGACUAGAAGAGGCAAUCUCCCUUAAGGCUUUGGCACCUCUCUCGAGUGCCUCCGGAUCGAACCCAGCCGACGUCGUCCUAGGGUUAUCGUUCCUUGUAGCUUUAGGAACAGAAUCCACAGCAUUAGCCACCGCAGAUUGAGCCGAAUUGGAGGGCGGAGAUUGACCAGAAGUAGAAAAUGAAGGAGACUGAGAAGAAGCAUUUGAAGUAGUGGAAGACGAAGAGGAGGGAAAUAAUGUAGAGAAGUUGAAAGGGGUAUCAGCAAAGGCAAUGGAGUUAGUCUGGGAGAGAGAAGCAGAAGCUGCUAGAGCAGAGAUUAGCCCUACUGCAUACGUUUUCCCCAUUCUCUAUUCUUUCCUUACUUGAAAAUCCUGUUAAAGAAAAGCUACAUAAACCCUCCACUCCAGGGGUUUGGUUGAAUUGAAGAAAGGGUUUUCAGAUAUUUGUUAUUUUAUGCUUGAAGAACAAGAAAAGAAGAGGAGAGAAGGUUAUUGUAGUUUCCAUUAAUGGCAGACCCUAGAGUUGCGAGAGGCCAAGAAAAG